rnacentral:tRNA from 1 species
CAUUCGAUAGCUCAGCUGGUAGAGCGGAGGAAUGUAGUUGGUAUCCGUUAGCAAUAUUUAGGUCGCUGAUUCAAUUCCGGCUCGAAGGA